AUUUGAAAAAGGCAAACUCAGCUGAAAAGCGAGGGCGCAAAAUCACCGGUCUAAGGGGCGUAAGUUCUAAGAUAGCGGGAGUACCAGA
rnacentral:ncRNA from 1 species